AUUGAACGCUGGCGGCAGGCCUAACACAUGCAAGUCGAACGGUAACAGGAAGCAGCUUGCUGCUUUGCUGACGAGUGUCGGACGGGUGAGUAAUGUCUGGGAAACUGCCUGAUGGAGGGGGAUAACUCCUGGAAACGGUAGCUAAUACCGCAUAACGUCGCAAGCCCAAAGAGGGGGACCUUCGGGCCUCUUGCCCUCGGAUGUGCCCAGAUGGGAUUAGCUAGUAGGUGGGGUAACGGCUCACCUAGGCGACGAUCCCUAGCUGGUCUGAGAGGAUGACCAGCCACACUGGAACUGAGACACGGUCCAGACUCCUACGGGAGGCAGCAGUGGGGAAUAUUGCACAAUGGGCGCAAGCCUGAUGCAGCCAUGCCGCGUGUAUGAAGAAGGCCUUCGGGUUGUAAAGUACUUUCAGCGGGGAGGAAGGGAGUAAAGUUAAUACCUUUGCUCAUUGACGUUACCCGCAGAAGAAGCACCGGCUAACUCCGUG
rnacentral:rRNA from 1 species